rnacentral:lncRNA from 1 species
GUUUCUAAAUGAAUUUGAGAGAAUUAUUUAUCAUUUUUCAUCCACCAAUUUUUGUGAUUUUUACUAUUAAUUUUUAUAUCAUUUGUAUCAAAUGAUGAAACCUAUAACUCAUUUAUUAUAUAUUUACUAGUUAUAUAUAUAUAUAUAUACACACACACACACCUAUGUAUGCAUUUUGUAUGUGCAUAUGUAAUCGUAGUGCUUGAAGAGGAAAGAUACACAAAUAUUUGUUGAAAAUAUAAAUAGUUUUAAAAAAAUGAAAAAGGAACAUAACACAUACAUGAGGUUUUAAGUCUGACUUAAAGAAUUUGUAUGGGGCUGGGGAUGUGGCUCAAGCAGUAACCACGCGCUUGCCUGGCAUGCGCGGGGCACUGGGUUCAGUCCUCAGCACCACGUAAAAAUAAAAUAAAGAUGUUGUGUCCACCAAAAACUAAAAAAUAAGUAUUAAAAAAUUCUCUCUCUCUCUCUUUAAAAAAAAAAAAAAGAAAAAAAGAAUUUGUACGACGUUUCACAGAAGUUACACCAGAAAAGGCAUUUUACUUACACAUUUCAACUUCUGUUCCAUCCACCUUUUCCAAACUAUUCCUUUUUUCUGACAGAGGUCUAAAUAUUAAAAAUUCUCUUAACACAUCAUUUUCAUACUGUCCUUGUCCAUCCCACCAGUCAGGAGUAUUAAUUUCCAAAGGAACCGUACAAAAAAGAUAAAACUUUUUCAAGGUACUAUUUUCUAAGUUUUUUUUUUUUAAUAUUAAAAGGAUAAUACCCACUUGAAUCAAAUUGUGAAAUAUGAUAUAUCAAGAACUAUGUAAUGUUUUGAACAGCCAACAAUAAAAAAUUAAAAAAAAAAAAAAGGAUAAUAAACAUUUUUUAAAAAUUCCAGGUGAUGUCACAUGUCAAUAAACUGUUCUGUAGGCCUGCCUGGGCCUGGUGCAAGAAAUGGAACAGUUUAUUAAAUAUUCUUUAUUUGUGUGAUUUUUGUCAGGUAAAUAUUCUUGAUAUUCUGGAUAUUUCUGGCAAAGGUAAUCCCUCUCCUUCUAUCUUUACAACUUAAAAAUUUAUAAAAUCAAGACACUUCUAAUAUUUUACCCUGUUUAUAAUCUAAUAAAAAAGGCUGUUUUCUGCUUCUCUUUUUUACAUUACUAAAAUUUUGUGUUUUAUGGAAAUGGCAAUCAGUGAAUGUGUUGUCCGUCCCCUAAAAACAAAUGCCUUUUUCCCCCUUUGUCAUGAGUUCAUAUUUAUGUGAAAAUGGUCUGUGUAUUUUAUCAUUUUCAUGAGCAUAUUCUUCCAAAGAGGAUUAAAACAAAUAUCUAUGAAGUAUAUGGAAUUAUCAGUCAUAAUAUCUGAGAAAUUUCUGUUAAGUUUGAAAAUUAUUCACACAUUAAUUUUCUCCCAUUUUAGAGUAUUUCUGAGGUUGAUACAUCUUAAUCCUAUGUUAUAGAAUCGACACAACUUGUAAAAUAUUUGUCUCCAUUUUGAACCUCUUUAUGCCUUUUUUAUGCAAAAAAAUUAAUACUGAGUGUGAAAUUAAAUAAAUUCACUUUAUUAUUAUUUGUA